rnacentral:rRNA from 1 species
UACGUAGGGGGCAAGCGUUGUCCGGAAUUAUUGGGCGUAAAGCGCACGUAGGCGGUUCGUUAUGUCAGAUGUGAAAGCCCUUGGCUCAACUGAGGAAGUGCAUCUGAAACUGGCGAGCUAGAGUAUGUAAGAGGGUCGCGGAAUUCCCGGUGUAGAGGUGAAAUUCGUAGAUAUCGGGAGGAACACCGGUGGCGAAGGCGGCGACCUGGGACAAUACUGACGCUGAGGUGCGAAAGCGUGGGGAGCAAACAGG